rnacentral:rRNA from 1 species
AGCGGCGGAUGGGUGAGUAACACGUGGGGAACCUGCCCCUAAGUCUGGGAUACCAUUUGGAAACAGGUGCUAAUACCGGAUAAUAAAGCAGAUCGCAUGAUCAGCUUUUGAAAGGCGGCGUAAGCUGUCGCUAAGGGAUGGCCCCGCGGUGCAUUAGCUAGUUGGUAAGGUAACGGCUUACCAAGGCGACGAUGCAUAGCCGAGUUGAGAGACUGAUCGGCCACAUUGGGACUGAGACACGGCCCAAACUCCUACGGGAGGCAGCAGUAGGGAAUCUUCCACAAUGGACGCAAGUCUGAUGGAGCAACGCCGCGUGAGUGAAGAAGGUUUUCGGAUCGUAAAGCUCUGUUGUUGGUGAAGAAGGAUAGAGGUAGUAACUGGCCUUUAUUUGACGGUAGUCAACCAGAAAGUCACGGCUAACUACGUGCCAGCAGCCGCGGUAAUACGUAGGUGGCAAGCGUUGUCCGGAUUUAUUGGGCGUAAAGCGAGCGCAGGCGGAAAAAUAAGUCUAAUGUGAAAGCCCUCGGCUUAACCGAGGAACUGCAUCGGAAACUGUUUUUCUUGAGUGCAGAAGAGGAGAGUGGAACUCCAUGUGUAGCGGUGGAAUGCGUAGAUAUAUGGAAGAACACCAGUGGCGAAGGCGGCUCUCUGGUCUGCAACUGACGCUGAGGCUCGAAAGCAUGGGUAGCGAACAGGAUUAGAUACCCUGGUAGUCCAUGCCGUAAACGAUGAGUGCUAAGUGU